UGGGGAAUCUUGCGCAAUGGCCGAAAGGCUGACGCAGCGACGCCGCGUGUGGGAGGACGCCUUUCGGGGUGUAAACCACUGUUGCCCGGGACGAACACGGCUAUUCGUAGCCGCUGACGGUACCGGGUGAGGAAGCACCGGCUAACUCCGUGCCAGCAGCCGCGGUAAUACGGAGGGUGCGAGCGUUGUCCGGAAUCAUUGGGCGUAAAGGGCGCGUAGGUGGCCCAGUCAGCGUGCGGUGAAAGCUCGGGGCUCAACCCCGAGUCGGCCGUGCGAACUGCUGGGCUCGAGCACUGUAGAGGCAGGCGGAAUUCCGGGUGUAGCGGUGGAAUGCGUAGAGAUCCGGAAGAACACCGGUGGCGAAGGCGGCCUGCUGGGCAGUAGCUGACACUGAGGCGCGACAGCGUGGGGAGCAAACA
rnacentral:rRNA from 1 species